CCUACGGGGGCUGCAGUGGGGAAUAUUGGACAAUGGGCGAAAGCCUGAUCCAGCCAUGCCGCGUGUGUGAAGAAGGCCUUCGGGUUGUAAAGCACUUUCAGUGGGGAAGAAAGCCUUGGGGCUAAUACCCUCGAGGAAGGACAUCACCCACAGAAGAAGCACCGGCUAACUCCGUGCCAGCAGCCGCGGUAAUACGGAGGGUGCGAGCGUUAAUCGGAAUUACUGGGCGUAAAGCGCGCGUAGGCGGUCUGAUAAGCCGGUUGUGAAAGCCCCGGGCUCAACCUGGGAACGGCAUCCGGAACUGUCAGGCUAGAGGGCAGGAGAGGAAGGUAGAAUUCCCGGUGUAGCGGUGAAAUGCGUAGAGAUCGGGAGGAAUACCAGUGGCGAAGGCGGCCUUCUGGACUGACACUGACGCUGAGGUGCGAAAGCGUGGGUAGCAAACAGGAUUAGAUACCCCUGUGUC
rnacentral:rRNA from 1 species